CCUACGGGUGGCUGCAGUGGGGAAUAUUGGACAAUGGGGGCAACCCUGAUCCAGCCAUGCCGCGUGUGUGAAGAAGGCCCUCGGGUUGUAAAGCACUUUCAGUGAGGAAGAACGCCUGGUGGUUAAUACCCAUCAGGAAAGACAUCACUCACAGAAGAAGCACCGGCUAACUCCGUGCCAGCAGCCGCGGUAAUACGGAGGGUGCGAGCGUUAAUCGGAAUUACUGGGCGUAAAGCGCGCGUAGGUGGCUUGAUAAGCCGGUUGUGAAAGCCCCGGGCUCAACCUGGGAACGGCAUCCGGAACUGUCAAGCUAGAGGGCAGGAGAGGAAGGUAGAAUUCCCGGUGUAGCGGUGAAAUGCGUAGAGAUCGGGAGGAAUACCAGUGGCGAAGGCGGCCUUCUGGACUGACACUGACACUGAGGUGCGAAAGCGUGGGUAGCAAACAGGAUUAGAUACCCUUGUAGUC
rnacentral:rRNA from 1 species